rnacentral:rRNA from 1 species
GACGAACGCUGGCGGCGUGCCUAAUACAUGCAAGUAGAACGCUGAAGGAGGAGCUUGCUCUUCUGGAUGAGUUGCGAACGGGUGAGUAACGCGUAGGUAACCUGCCUGGUAGCGGGGGAUAACUAUUGGAAACGAUAGCUAAUACCGCAUAAGAGUAGAUGUUGCAUGACAUUUGCUUAAAAGGUGCAAUUGCAUCACUACCAGAUGGACCUGCGUUGUAUUAGCUAGUUGGUGCGGUAACGGCUCACCAAGGCGACGAUACAUAGCCGACCUGGGAGGGGGAUCGGCCACACUGGGACUGUGACACGGCCCAGACUCCUUCGGGAGGCAGCAGUAGGGCAUCUUCGGCAAUGGACGGAAGUCUGACCGAGCAACGCCGCGUGAGUGAAGAAGGUUUUCGGAUCGUAAAGCUCUGUUGUAAGGGAAGAACGAGUGUGAGAGUGGAAAGUUCACACUGUGACGGUAUCUUACCAGAAAGCGACGGCUAACUACGUG